rnacentral:rRNA from 1 species
UACGUAGGGGGCAAGCGUUGUCCGGAAUUAUUGGGCGUAAAGAGCGUGUAGGCGGCCAGAUAAGUCCGCUGUGAAAUCUCGAGGCUCAACUUCGAGCUGUCGGUGGAAACUGUCUGGCUAGAGUCCGGAAGAGGAGAACGGAAUUCCUGGUGUAGCGGUGAAAUGCGCAGAUAUCAGGAGGAACACCGGUGGCGAAGGCGGUUCUCUGGGCCUGUACUGACGCUGAGGAACGAAAGCGUGGGGAGCGAACAGG